rnacentral:tRNA from 1 species
GGGCCAUUACCUCUUGUGGUUAAAGCGUACCCCUGAGGACGCUGAGGUCCCUGGGGCAAGUCCGGGAUGGCCCA